rnacentral:lncRNA from 1 species
AUCAAGGACCGAACUUCUAUGACAACCGGUCUCCAGCGGUGGGACUUCUACAGUAAGCGGUCUACUCCAAACUUCUAUGACAACCGACCUCCAUCCGGGCUUCUACGGUAAGCGGCCUCCUUCCGGACUCCUACAAGAAUCGGAUUUCGGGCAAACUUCUACAACAGACGUGCUCCAGCAGUCGGACUUCUACAGUGACCGACUGUCUCUGGUGUCUUCCGUACCUCUCCGGCCAUCAACCUUCAACAGCGCCAGUCGACCAUCCA